rnacentral:rRNA from 1 species
AUUGAACGCUGGCGGCAGGCCUAACACAUGCAAGUCGAACGAGUGGCGGACGGGUGAGUAAUGUCUGGGAAACUGCCUGAUGGAGGGGGAUAACUACUGGAAACGGUAGCUAAUCCCGCAUACCAUCGGAUGUGCCCAGAUGGGAUUAGCUAGUAGGUGGGGUAAAGGCUCACCUAGGCGACGAUCCCUAGCUGGUCUGAGAGGAUGACCAGCCAAACUUGAACUGAGACACGGUCCAGACUCCUCCGGGAGGGAGCAGUGGGGAAUAUUGCACAAUGGGCGAAAGCCUGAUGCAGCCCUGCCGCGUGUAUGAAGAAGGCCUUCGGGUUGUAAAGUACUUUCAGCGGGGAGGCGUUACCCGCAGAAGAAGCACCGGCUAACUCCGUGCCAGCAGCCGCGGUAAUUC